GCCGCCGAGCCGCUUCCUUCCGCCGCCGCGACCCCCGGCCGGGGCUGAGGUGGCGCCAGCCUGAGGAAAACUCUCCGCAGCGCCAGCGGCUUCGCGCCCUCCGUCUAUGGCAGAGGGGAAAGUCCCGCAGCGAGCAGAGGCUGAGGCAGUUUUUAGCCUUAUUUUGGCUAAAACUUGGCAGGCUGACAGCGCUCCUCGCGCACAUCCCCUCUCAGGGGCAGCGAGGGCGGUUUCUCCCCUCGCCCGGCCGCCCUGAACCGCAGGAGCUUGUUGUCAGUGCUGCUGUCGCUACUGAGGUGAUCCUGGUCUUUUUUUCACACGGGUUCUGACCUUCGAGAAAUCUGAAAGAAGUCAAUGGCAAAUGGGAACUCUCAGCUCUCUCUACCUCCAACAGGAGCUGCUCUGUAUACAUGGUAUGCAGAUUUCUUUGAUGGGAAGGGUGUCAGUUUCUCUUGUAGUUAGACCAGUGACUGAUUCAUCACUGAACUAUCUCUUCCUAUAAUUCACUGCUACUUCAUUCAAUUGAUUGUAUCAUACGGAGCAGGGAGAAAUGCCAAGAGCAAUACAAAGAGAGUGAGUUGAUAAAUUCCAUUUCAGCUGAAAAGUUGAUGUUAUUUAUUAUUGGUAUCCUUGUGAGGACUGUCCCUUAGAAGCACUAGUAAUGUACAAGAACCCUGUUUUGAUAGCUGCAGUACAAACUCAGACCCAGUUAUUUCUGAGUAAAAAGAGGAUUCCUGCCUCAAAAAUGUAUGUAUCGAAACAAGGGAUGGAAAGAACAUAUGGACUAAGAAAUAACAAUAUUGAUUAGCACAUUAAGCAGCAAAAUUAAUCUGAUAUCUCAUUUAAGUGUAGCUGUAAUCAAACAGGUUUUAUCAGAUUUUAGAAGUGACAUUUCACUAAUUUGGCCCAAAGCUUUUAGCUGUAAGUUUUAUCAGCCCAGGCACAAAAUACAUACAACAGCUCCAGACAAAACUUGUUUGGGGUGUCCUUGGCCCAGUAACUAGUAUGGCCCUGAUAUGGUUGUGCUGAUACCCAGAUGUGCUGAUAACCUGCUAAAGAGGUGUUUGCAUUGACUGGAUUCCUACUUACCCUGAUAGUACUCCCUCAGUCCUAUUUAUUUCAUCUUUUGAAUUGUUAUUUUGCU
rnacentral:lncRNA from 1 species